AUAUGACUCUCGGCAACGGAUAUCUCGGCUCUCGCAUCGAUGAAGAACGUAGCGAAUGCGAUACGUGGUGUGAAUUGCAAAAUCCCGUGAACCAUCMAGUCUUUGAACGCAAGUUGCGCCCGAGGGACCCUCCCCAGGGCACGCCUGCCUCAUGGGCGUUAGAA
rnacentral:rRNA from 1 species